rnacentral:sRNA from 1 species
GGAACGCGAGGGGAGACUGAAGUUCACGUUCCGCUCUUGGUGCGCGGUGAGGAAUACUGUAUCUAUCAUUCAACAAGUUUCAGCUUUCUGGCUAAAUGACUUUUGUGCCAGUGAUACCAGAGUCCUACAGCCAUGUUCUUGCAGAGUUUGAAUCUCUGGAUCCAUUACUCUCAGCCCUGCGGCUGGACUCCAGUCGUCUAAAGUGCACGAGCAUAGCUGUGUCUCGGAAAUGGUUGGCUUUGGGCAGUUCAGGAGGAGGACUGCAUCUCAUUCAGAAAGAAGGCUGGAAGCACAGGCUUUUUCUUUCACACAGGGUAAGAUUAAGGGCAGCUCUGUCAUACACCAUUUGGAGUCUCUUUCAUAAAUGCAAAUUUCUCCAAUAUAAAUAAUCAUUUGGAAUAAAAGAAUGUAGAACUUGGCUUGGUGCGGUGUCUCACGCCUGUAAUCCCAGCAUUUUGGGAGGCCAAGGCGGAUGGAUUACCUGAGGUCAGGAGUUGGAGACCAGCCUGGCCAACAUGGUGAAACCCCGUCUCUACUAAAAACACAAAAAUUAGCUGGGCGUGGUGGUGAGUGCCUGUAAUCCCAGCUACUUGGGAGGCGGAGGCAGGAGAAUCGCUUGAACCCAGGAAGUGGAGGUUGCAGUGAGCCGAGAUCGCACCAUUGCUCCCCAGCCUGGGCAACAGAGCGAGACUCAGUCUCAAAAAAAAUAAA